GGUCCUUGACUGCUUGCCAAAACUCAGAAAGUACCUUCCGCCCAAAAGAAUUGCCCAUCCCUGCUAUUAAUCUAAAUAAGGUUACUCUAAUAAAGAACUGAUGAAUAAGAUGAAAGCCUCACUUAUUCCUUUUCUGUGAAAUAAAGCAGUAUUUUAUCUAAUAUUACUGUAAUUAUGUAAAACUGUUCUUAGUGAAGUGUGAAUUUUAAAAGGGAAGUUGGGUGUUUAAACUUAUACAAUGACUGACUUCAAUAAAUACUUCUGUAACCCAUCUUAUUGUACAAAUAACUUUGAAAUGCAUAUAAGAAAUGGCUCAAAUUAAGUAAUUUCUUGAUCAACCAGUUUUCAGCAUGUUGAUUGUUAAUAUAUCCAGUUUUACAAAGUGAUAUGAGGUAUCUCUCAAAUCCUGUCUCACAUGUAUCAGUCAGAUAGCUGGGCUGUUGGAUAUGGAAUUUUUUUAGAUUGGAGGGAAAAAGGAUUUAUUGUGGUUAGGUCAUGCCCAGUAGUGGUUGGGAUAUUCUUAUGUUCUGUCAAUGGCAGUGGCCAGUAUUGGGUGUUUUAGAAAAAUAGAGACCCUAUUGUGAGUAAUUAUGAGGACCUGUCUCUUGAGUUUCUUUUCAAAUCCCAAUAAAUUCAGUCCUAUUAGGAAUAGUCUGACCCCUUUUAGGACAGUGGUGACUGCAGGGCCUACCAGUACCCAUUCCAUGGUGUGUUUAGGUCUUUAGAUUCCGUACGUAUUGGGUAACCAAAGAAUUACAGAGGCAGCUUUUUAGGAGAUGGUAUCCCAGAAGAUUAGGUUAUGAACCUCCAUAACAAAACAGUUUCUCUGCCUUCUGGUCUUAGAGCCACAGGACUUCACACGGUUUUGAGUAGGUUAACAGUUGGUGAAAUUUUGAAAUGUCUCACUUGUUAAGUUUGUCCACACCUGUACUGCAGUAAUUGUGAACUGGUUUCCCAUCAAUGACGCUUUGAUUGCCACGUGUAUCUGUACUCCUAGUUAUCAUAAGGGGGAAUAUGUUGUGUUAUUAUUUCAGAAAGCCCUAGGAUAAAGAAUCUUGAAGUCAUAGAAUCAUAGAAGUAGGGUCAGAAGGGACCUUGUAGAUCUUCAAGUCUGACCCCCUGCCUGGGCAGGAGGGAAACUGGGCUCAGGUGACCCCAGCCAGCUAGGCAUCGAGACUUCUUAAAGACCCCCAGGGUAGGAGCCAGCACCAGUUCCCUUGGAAGUCGGUUCCAGAUCCUAGCUGCCCUAAUGGAUGUCUAAUCUAAACCUACUCUCCAACAUCUUGUGGCCGUUAGUCCUUGUUAUCCCGGGGGGCGCUAGGGGAAACAAGGUCUCCCCCAAACCCUUCUGGUCCCCACUAGUGAGUUUAUAGAUGGUCACCAGGUCCCCCCUCAGCCUUCUCUUGUGAAGGCUGAACAGGUUCAGGUCCCGUAGCGUCUCAUUGUAGGGUCUGCCCUGCUGUCCCCGGAUCACGUGGGUGGCCCUCCUCUGGACCCUCUCAAUGUUGUCCACAUCCCUCUUGAAGUGGGGUGCCAGAACUGGACACAGUACUCCAGCUGCGGCCUGACCAGUGUCGUGUAGAGGGGGAGGAUCACCUCCUUGGCCCUACUUGAGAUGCACCUGUGGAUACAUGAUAGGGUCCGGUUAGCCCUGCCGACCAUGACCUCGUGUUGUCGGCCUAUGUUCAUCUUGGAGUCAGUGAUGACUCCAAGAUCCCUUUCUGCCUCCGUGCUCUCAAGAAGGGAGUUUCCCAUCUUAUAAGUGUGUUGCCAGUUACUGCUGCCCAAAUGCAGCACCCUGCACUUGUCCAUAUUGAAACGCAUCCUGUUUUUGUUAGCCCACCCUAGCAACCUAUCCAGGUCUUUCUGCAGUCUUUCCCUCCCUACUAGCAUGCCCACCUCACCCCAAAUUUUGGUAUCAUCAGCAAAUUUGAACAGGUUGCUUUUCACCCCGUCAUCCAAAUCGCUGAUAAAGAAAUUGAACAGUGCGGGCCCAAGGACCGAGCCCAGGGGGACUCCGCUGCCCACUUCCGCCCAGAUCGAAUAUGACCCAUCCACCACCACCCUCUGAGUUAUGACCCUUCAGCCAAUUAGCAAUCCAUCUGACCGUGUAGGCAUCGAUGCCACAGUUUUUUAAUGAGGAUGGGGUGGGAGACAGUGUCAGAGGCCUUGCUGAAGUCCAGAAAGACUACAUCCAUGGCAACACCUGCAUCCAAUGCUUUUAUGACCUGAUCGUAAAAGGCAAUCAGGUUGGUCUGACAUGACCUGCCCCUAAUGAAACCGUGCUGGUUGCCCCUGAGCAUCAUCCCUGAUGCCGGCCCAUCACAGAUGUGUUCCUUGAUGAUCAUCUCAAAGAGUUUCCCCAGGAUUGAGGUAAGACUGAUGGGCCUAUAGUUGCCUGGGUCCUCCCUCCUCCCUUUCUUAAAGAUGGGGACCACAUUGGCUAUCUUCCAAUCAUCUGGCACCUGGCCCGAGCACCACGAGCGCUCGUAAAGCUGUGCCAAGGGCCCAGCAAUAACCCCUGCUAGCUCCCUCAACACUUUGGGGUGGAGAGCAUCUGGACCUGCUGACUUGAACACGUCCAGCCCCUCCAGAAGCUCUCUAACCCGGUCCUCCUCAACCUUAGGUCUUGAGGCGUUCCCCACGAGUCCGUCUUGAAACACGGUGGGGGAGUCCCGGUCCCUGCACAAGAAAACAGAGGUAAAGAAUUUAUUAAAGAUGUCUGCCUUCUCCUCUGGCGCAACCACCAGAUUGCCCAGCGUAUCUUGCAGGGGCCCCACAUUUCCCGGUGCCCUCUUCAUCCUCCCUAUAUAUUUGAAAAAGGACUUUUUAUUAUCUUUGAUCUUGGACGCUAGUCCUAGCUCUAUGUCCGCCUUAGCUUUCCUAACAGCCCCCCUACAGGCCCGAGCAGUGGAGGUAUACACUUCUUUGGAGAUAGCCCCCCCUUCCACUGGGUGUACGCCGCCUUUUUGGCAACCAGGCAUUCCCGGACUUCCUUAGUGAGCCAGGGAGGCUUUUGAGCACUCUUGCCCCCCUUGCUUCUUGUUGGGAUUGUCACCCCUUGGGCCCUGAGUAUCGUCUCCUUAAGGAACGACCACUCAUCUUGGGCACUGAAUUCCCCUGCCCUUGAGAACCCCAGCACCUCUCCCACCAAUCUCCUCAACUCAUUGAAGUUGGCCCUCUUGAAGUUUAGGGCUACCGGCUUGCUGCAGGCCCUUGACACCCUGCGCUGGAUGAUGAAUUCCAGCAAGCGAUGAUCGCUUUCACCCAGGUGGUCAAGGACCUGGAGCCCCCUUACCAGAUCAUCGCCUGUGGCCAGGACCAGGUCCAACAGGGCAUUUCCUCUGGUAGUACUGUGCAUCUCCUGGGUUAAGUGGAGGUCCUGUAUCUUGGCCAGGAACCUCCUGGAACGGUCCGACCUGGCUGACUGCUCCUCCCAGCAGAUGUCCAGGUAAUUUAGAUCACCCAUGACAACUGCAUCCCUCGCCUUAAGUGCCUCUGCAGGCUGGCUCGAAAAUUCCCGGUCCAGCUCCCCCUCUUGGUUGGGGGGUCUGUAGUAGACCCCCACCGUUAAAUCCCUCUCCCCAUGACCCCCUUGUAUCUUGACCCAGAGCACUUCAGCUUGCCCCUCCUCUGACCCCAUUUUGCUGGCAGAAGAUGUGUAUUGCUCUUUGACAUAGAGUGCCACACCCCCUCCCUUCCUUCCUUCUCUAUCCCACCUGUAGAGCCUAUAGCCCCUAAUGCUAACUGCCCAGUCGUGGGAUGAAUCCCACCACGUUUCUGUAAGCCCCACUAUGUCUGGGUUUGAACUGGCUAUUCUGAGGGCGAGUUCCACCUGUUUUGUUCCCCAUACUCCGAGCAUUGGUAUACAGGCAUUUAAGGCCUUGCAUAGCUGUGCUUGCCACCCCCGGAUUAGGAAGACUAUUUGGACCCCUGUUUCUUACCUGGGCACUCCUUGCACGUGUCACCUGUCUUGCUCGGGUGGCGUCUCCUUGUCUUCCUGCGGCCCCCUCCCCCAGUGAGGCUAGUUUAAAGCUCACCGUACAAGAUCAGCUGCAGCAACUCCAUUGUGUAAGCCAACCAGGAUAUGUUCUUGGAAUGAAGCAAUGUUAUUUUCUGCUGCUUCCUUCAUAAGGGAGGUGGGGUGACAGGAUGGAUGGAAAGGAUUGGGUGGAAAAGUGACUAGCUGGAAGAAGCUGGUUUUAAGCUACAGCUAGCUUGAGUAAGCACAGCCCGAAAAAGAAGACUGGGAUUCUGCAGUCCUCAAGGUCAUGUAGCUGCAAAGGCCAGAUGAGAGGUGUGGGGCCAGAUUGGGCGCACAGGCCAGUUCUGUGUGUUGGAGCCAGUACCAGCCUUGUUGGAGCCUGCACCAGCCUUGUGUGCAGAGCGCAUGCUGGUUCCCAUCCUCUGCAGUGCUUGCAGCAGUUCCAAGCCCUGGUCCCUCACGCUGUAUGCAGUGCACGGGUCUGGUCCAAGACAUGCGCUGCAGACAGUACCUGCACCAGAGCAGCCCUUUGUGCUAGAUCUGCACAGGGCUGGCCUGUGGGCCUAAUUUGGACUGGCCCCAGAUGUAGCACAUGGGGCCGGUCCACCAUGGACACUGCAUGCAGCAUAUUUCCUGGACCAGCCCGCAUGCAUUGCAUGCCGCAUGUUCAGCAGGUCCAGACCAGUGUGCUGCAUGCAGAGCUCAGAGCCAGAGUGGGCACACAUGCAGCACGUAGGUUGGUCUGAGACCCACGGGCAACAUUGUGUGCUGGAUGAUAGGGCACUGUGGGCUGUAUCUUUGACAUCUAUGGAGGAAACAAUUUGCUUGGCUUAUAGCACGUAUGCCCAGAAUGAAGGCUGAUGGAAGACAUAGCCUCUCUGAAUUGGCACCCUGACCCCAAAAGAGUUUUAAAAAACUAUAUACACAUUUUAAAAACAAAUGGUGAAAAUACAAAGGUGUAUGGCCCUCUCAGGGGCUGAGUGCAUUUGAUGGCUGGCAAGUGUUUUGUGCUAUGUCAGCAGAGAUUGAAACCCUUUGCCUCAUGCUCUUCAUGGAGUUACACAUGUAGGACCAGCUGUCCAUCUCUUCACCUUGCAGAUUGCCUUCCAUGGUCUAGUGUGACACAAACUGGUCCUUGUUUUGUUGCAAGGUGAAGUGUUCAAUUUCUUGUGACACUUGUUCAGGUCAGGAAGAAGAAGAGUUGGAGGGUGUUCCUGGAGCUGGUCCCUGUGAGCCAAUUUUGUUGGCUUUUCAGUUUCACUGUCUUAGCCUGUCCCAGCAGGAAAUUGGCCAGGGAGGUCACACACCUUCAAAGAAAGGCUGGUCUUGAAAACAAAGGUUCUUUAUAUCAUGUAAGAGAGUGAAUAAAUAAUCCCCACAAAGAGAAGUCUUCUUCCAAGUACUCUGAUUUAAGGACAAAUUAUGGCAAAACAAGGAGCUACUGGGGGAAGUAGGUUUAUAGAGCUACUUUAUAGUUUAUACAAUGGGGCAUAUUUAGGAGCAACCCUACAGCUCUUGAAGUAUAACAGUUGUCUCUUCUUGGUUGGUUUUUACUGUUUGGUGGUUUGCAGGAGCAUAUCUUUGUGGUGCAGUAAGUAGGUAUAUACACACUGUGCCAGAUGCCCAAACCAUGUCUGUAACCCACUAUAAUUGGAUUUUAUCAAAGCAGGGUUAAUGGGAAUUUGGUGAGGUCAGAAGUCUGACUUUAACCCUAUAUAUAGAUAUAUUGAUGUGUGUGUGUUUGUGUGUGUGUGUGUGUGUGUGUGUAUAGAUUGAAAUUAAGAAGACAGAAGCGAUGCAUCAGCCUGCACCAGGAAAUCCUUAUGUAGAGUCUACUGUCAGAGUGAAUGAUCAAACCCUCCAGGCAGUGGACAGGUUCACCUAUCUUGGCAGUAUGCUGUCACGUGCAGUUCACAUUGAUGAUGAAACCAAUGCCAGAAUUGUCAAAGUAAGCAUGGCCUUUGGCAGACUAUGUGCAAAUGUGUGGGAGCACAGAAGCAUCUGUCAAGCAAACAAAACUGAAGGUCUACAAAGCCACUGUGUUGCCAAUCCUGAUGCAUGCAUGCAAAACCUGGACAGUGUAUAGAUGCCAUGCUAUGAAGCUGAACCACUUUUAUAUGGGGUGUCUUGAGGAAACUGAUAAGGAUAAGAUGGCAAAAGAAGGUUCCAAACACAGAAGUUCUCUCACAGGCAGGCAUUCCAAGCAUCCACACCCUGUUGCUGAAAUCACGGAUAAGAUGGGCAGGCCAUGUCACCAGGGUGUUAGAUGAACAACUACCAAAGAUCUGUGGCAAGUUAAAGGAGGGAAAGCUCUCAGGAAGGCCUGAAGAAAUGUUUCAAGGACUCCCUCAGGUCAUCCUUGAAAUGUCUCAGCAUUGACCCGAAAUUUUGGGAAGAUCUUGCUUGUGAUUGUUCCACCUGGCAAAGACUCAUCCACUCUGGACCAACAGUCCAGUAGGUCUUACCCAUACUGAUAAACCCUUAUUCAUACUGUCACCUACAGUCUACGAGUGAGGGAGAACUGCUGAGACAGAGCAGAAGUGCAAGCGGUGUAAAUCUCGCAACAGCAGCACAUCCACUGUUGAUCAAGCAGCCCAAAAUGGCAUCUCUUGCUCAGUGUGCCACAGAUGGUUCAGAGCACAAAUUGGUUUCAUCAGUCACUCUAUUCACAGAAACCAAACCAACUAGUGAUGCCAUGGUUAUCUUCAAAAUUGAGGAACAAACAGCAACAACAGUCCAGACUGAAGAAACACUAAAAAUAUAAAAUCUGCACCUUUUUGGAGACAUUGCUUAAAAAUACCAAAAAAUAAAUAACUUGCAGGGUUUUUUUUUUUUUUUUUUUAAUUAAAUCUGUAUCUUGAAGUAGGAAGCAUGCCAAACAACCCACCGCUCUAAUGACUUUUCUUUUUUGCCUUAUUUGGCCUCAUUCAUCAUCCUUGUUCCCUUUUUGGAGGAGAGAUUCUGUGCACUCCUGACAUUUUUAACUACUGCUCAGAAAUUAAUCUAGACAUAAAUAUACUUCUCUUUGAAGUCACCAUUCAGAGUCCUUUUCUGCAGAGUAUGGAUUAAGUGCUUGUCCUUAGCUUGAAACUAUUUAAUUGAAUUAAAUAAAAAGUAACAACAACAAAAAUCUAUUUGCUAGAAUAAAGAAUCACUAAUUCAUUAGAUAAUAUUUAGUCCAAAACACUGUGAUGAGCAUUCCUAGUUGGACAAAAUGGGAACCAUACCAUAACAAAGUUCCAUGAGAAACUUCUCUAAGCAACUUUAUCAUAUUUGUCUUUAGAACCUUUCUUGAAGCUUUUGAUAUAACCUAACGAGGUAGGCCCAAAGUCAAGGCCUCCUUGUUAUCCUGUGAAUUUGUUUAAUACUCCAGGGCCAUGAUUCUCAGUCAGGGAGCCAUGGUGCUCUGGGGUGCCGUAAGAUCCUUCCAGUGUUAAAUUGAAACGUUAAAAUAAUUUGAAAUGUUUAAAUAACUUUGGUCAAUUACAAAGCGGUCUCUAAAUUAGAAUUUAAGACUCUACUUCUUUUAGGCUUUUAAAAGCAGCAGCCCACAGAAGAGCAAAAAUGCUUCUGUAAGCUGCCAGAACUUUGGCUGAACAGGAGGAGUCAGUCUAAGACGUAAUGUAAAAAGUGUUGGUGUAAACACUUUUGUGCUGCUACUGCAUACUUACUACAUUUUUUACUUGGCUUUUAUCUUUUAGAAAAGUAACUCUUACAAAUCGUGUAAGAUCAUCUAAAUAUAAUAUUGUGUAUCAAGUUGGAAGCCAUAGUGGAUAUCUCGGUGGUCUGCUAGGCACCUCUGAUGCCUGUUGUACAGCAGUAAUUGUGGGAAGCUUGAGUGGACCUUAAGAAUCAUGGAAUGCUUGAUUGUAAAUCUCAGUGGCAUUUGUCUGAAGCACUUUGCCUUGUUCAGAUUUUUUCUUCAAAUGGUUGUCCAUAUCUUUUUCUACUCUUGGUACUUGAACAUCCCAUGUGUGUGAAGUCAUUCUUUUGGUCAGCAGGGUCAGGUGCAGUAAUGCCUAUGCUUUAGAUCUCCUCCCCCCCAUGGGCAUGAAGGAAAGAACAGGCCAAUCCAUAUCCCAUUUUCUUCUUAACUGCCUGUGACAGAAGUAUACAAUCCUUGCUUUUUGGUGACUCUCCAGCAGUUAGUGAUUUAUGUUGUAUAGCAAGCUUUAAGGGUUCCCAUUUUUCCCACCUGGCCAUUAUGUCAUUGAGUGACGUAGUACCUUUUGUGUUUAAGUAUAUCCCUGAGGGCACUGUGACCACUGAAAGUGAAACAGCUUUCAAUAUAAACAUGCCCACCAUCUGUUCUUGUGCUAUUAGAAGUUGUCUUCUGUUUGAAAGCAUGGUAGAAGCUUUGGUAACUGUGCCCUCCCUGCCCCGCCCCAUGAAGCAAUACGCGUGCCCGAGACAGAGUUUAUGGUGUGUCUAAACAUCACCCUAAGGAUGAUUACAUAACAUUUUUGUGGUUUGAUUCACUGUAGCUCUAGUAAGGAUCCUUUGAUGGUGCAGAAAUAUUUGAUUCAUAAGAGGAAUGACUCCUCCAGGAAAAAGCCCUGUACAAGUGGAAGAAAUUUGCAACUUGGUGUGACAUCGAUUAUAUCCCUUUAAUGCACAGAUCUCUGCUGUAUUGGAUAACAGGCAUACCUUAACAGACUAAUCAGUUAGAGCAUGCAGUCUUUCCCAACAUGGUAUGACUGUUCUUUGGAGGCCACAUCAAAGAAUUGGAGAAUGAGUGUCCAUUGUUUUCAUUCCAGAAAUUAUAUUUAUUGGUUUUGAGGUGUGUGAAACUAUUGACAGUUACACUAAUUUAGACCCUCGGAUAUUAAUAAAGCCCAUUCUAUCAGGGCAUAGGCAGCCACUACUUCUUCCUAGGAAACUAUUUCUCUUUUGGUCUUCUGUAAAGCAGAUACUUCAGUUGCAUGCCAUAUUUUACCAAGUGUUCUUCCAUAGAAAAAAGUAUCCAAGUCUGACACUGAUUUGGGAAGAACUAUUCUGCAGUACUUAAAUGGACCCUAAGCUACUGUCUCUUUAUAUUAGAUUAAUAAUGACAGAUCUUUUUGGCUGCUGGGCUGGAUGACUGGCGCCAGGUCUGUCCAGGGGCCGGAUCUGGUCUGUGGGCCUGAUCCAGCAUGCAGUGCUGGCCUAUUUAGGGCCCAGUGCAGGCACAUGGAAACAGCCUGCCCAAGAACUGAUGCAGUUUCCCCAUCACCAAAUUUGCGGACCCCUGGCGAGACCCACAGACCAGAUUUCCAUGGGUCCAUGGGCUGGGGGGUUGAGCACCCUGCACUAGAUUAUAAUAAUAUAAUUAGAAUUUGGGUUGACAGACGUCUCGGAGUAUUCUGGUUACCGUAACUUCUUACUCAACAGAUCUCCUUGUUUAGUUGCAGGCUCUAAUAAAAAUGGUAUGUUUUUUCUGUUGUUUUGCCUUCAGAGUUGAUAUGAUUUUGAGCUAGAUUGUUUUCUUUGUAGAAAGGUGCAGCUAUCUUGCUCUGCAGACUUACCUGCUUAUGGAUCAUCAAUAAACAACUUGAUUAUGCCUUUCAGAGCUUAGAUUAAAUCUGAAGUCACUAUUUAGAGAAGAAAAAUCUUUUGUUGUUGUUGUCUUCUGUAUACUAUUUACUUGUAUGUUACUCAGAAUUGAUCUAGAAUCAGUAGGGAUGCUUUAAGCUUGUAAUGCUAUUUUUAGAGUUACUUUUCAGUGUAAAACACACUUUAAAAGAACUCUGAGAAAUAUGGCUUCCUAAUAAUCGCAGAAAAAAUUUCAUGAUUACUGCUAUGUAAAUCAGUUAAAUCAACAUAAUUUGCUUUAUAAAAACAUUUUAUAAAUAAUUAUGAAAUACUGAAUUUUUUAAAGAAAUAUUAGUGUUCAACAAUAUGAUUCUUCCUAAACAUCACACUAGAGCACAAGUAGAAAAUUAACAAUAAGUGAUAUAACUGAUCUUGAAAUAUCUAUAUUUGCGAUUACUUUUAAUAUUCUGAUUUUUUUUAAAUUGAUCAUAUUGGGGAUUUCAGUUUUUUGACUUGAUAUUUGAUCAUAUCCAUUUGAUAUAAUAGUUAUGCAGUUUAUUACAAAUUGUUAUUUGGGAACCAUGGAGGUUAUACAGUAGACAAAGCUAUUUUUAAAAACUGUCCUUCUAUUUAAUAUUUCCUUUGUGUAUGUCUUGAGUGAAAACGUUAACUUUUUAAAGUUUAUUUACUACGUGGUCAUAUUUGAUUUGAAUAGAAUUUUGGACAGAAGAUUGUAAAGGUAACUAUGAACUUAGUCCUUUGCACUUGUUUAUUUACUUUGAAUACAACAUAAAGUUAGCUUGUUUUGGAUUUUCAAAGAAAAUAAUUAUAUAUAUUUUUUGUAGUCAGUUUUUUACUGAUUUUUAUUUUCAUAGUUAUUUUCUGUACGUAUAUCUUAGCUAUUUCUGUGAAGUGAGUAGGAAGAUCUGUGUGGUAUCUGAAAGUUUUGAGUCACAUUUUAAUCAUGCUGGCACAUGUAUUUAGUCUACAAAGCACAAGACUUCUUUUUACGCAGGCAAGUGAUUUGUUUUUAGAUACUGUGGUAAAGUUUUUAGUAGUGCUUGGCUUUGAUUUUUUUUUUUUUAACGGAGAUGUCAAGCAAAAGGCUGAAAAUCUAGAAGAUUGCUUGCUGAUAGUUAAAUAGAAACUAGAACUGAUUACAUGUAUUGUAGCUUUGCCAGCAGCAACUUUUUAAAGAGAAUUUUUCUUACCAGAGGAAAGUUUUUGAGGGGCAUUGAUUUGAAGCAUCUGUUUAAAGAAUAAUUGUCAUAACUUUUUAUUUAUGUAUUUUGAUGCAUAUAAUUAACAAAGAUUAUUAAUUUGCCUUAAAUAACAAAAAUUGUUUUUUCCCAAGUCUAACCAAGUUUUACUUCAUCUUUAAAGCAAAUAGUUUGUUAAAUUACGGUUUUGCAGUUCCUAUGCAAAUCUGCAAUGCCACAAAAACAAGUUUGUGACUUCAUUCCUGGAUGAAGCAACAUUUUGGUUAUGAGAGAUUAAAAAAUGGAAAAUUAUUGCCAAGUUGCAGGGAAAGUUGGUACUACAUUUAACAGUCCAAAUUUCAUUGUAAGCAAGCUACAAACUUUUCUCACAAAUAGGUAUCUGUGCAUUCCAUUGGAGUUCGAUCCUGUAGGAAUCAGUGGCAGCCACAUUUCACUUUUUCACUUUUCAGUGAGAUUUCCACAGGUGCAUCUGAGUGCAAAGUUAUUUGUAGGAUAACUGGCAGGUGUUUUUAAUUGUUUGGAAGUAAGUUACAAUAAUAUAUUGAAGCUGGACUUAUGCUUCUGUAGUUCAGUUUCAGAAGUAAGGUCUUGUUGCAGAUAGAAAUGUAGAUACCCAUUAAAUAUUUAUUUAACCUGUUGUAAUUACAACAGAUUAAAUGAUUAAUUGGUAUUGCAGCCCCUGGCCUGGCUGACACGGGGCUGCUUCAGCUUGGCUUAUGGGGUGCCUCUGCCAGCCUGGCACCAAUGGAGUGCUUCCAGUUGCCCGAGGUGUGGUGGGGAUGCAGUAGCUCCCCAGGGCCCAGCCUCACGACAGACAGGGUGGGAGACUGGGUCCUAUCCGAGCCCAGGUCUGGGCAGGGCAUGCCAUGGGGCUGAGCCAUGGGCCCAGGGGAGUUGCCCUACACACUCUUGUUUCCACCUUGCUUUGCCAGGCCCAGUGGCAGCUGUAGCAAUAGAAGGCACUGCACUUGGCAUGGCAUGGUAGUGCUGGGUUCCAACCCGUAGCUCUUUGAAGUCAGACCAGGGGGCGGGACACGGAUGGACAGAUUGAGCCCUGGGCCUGGGCCUGCGCCUGCCCUCCCCUACCAUGGAGGAGGGGUUGCACCCAGUUGCCCAGAGCAACGUGGGGAGCAGGGGGUCCAAAGAAGCCCUGCCUCAUAGGCAGCACAGCCCAGGAAACCAGCAAGGGCUGGCAGCCACUGGUGCUCAGCUUCCCAGGGCCAGCUGCAGCAGCCAGCAAGGGAGGGAGGAGCUGCCUGCCUCCCUUCCUCGCACCCUCCUGCACUGCUGCAGCUGACCCCAGGAAGCCAUGUGCUAGUGGCUGCAGACCCUUGCUUCCUGGGCUGUUCUGCCUGCUACAGAAUGUGGCUUGUAGACUCUGGCGAUGUAGACUUGCUUGUAGACUCCCUGUCACCUGCUAUAAACAGUCCAGGCUCAAGGCCAGGCCCCUGCUACAGAGUCUGUACAGCCUAACUAUUAGGUAUUAGUCAGCCCUCCAUCUUUCCCCUCCCCAUUCCUCCUCCUUGCUCCUCCCUCCCUCCCUCUGCAUGGCUUAGCUUUUAGGUAUUAGUCACCCCUCCCCCAUGCCACUCCUCCCUCCCUCUGCAUCCGCCUAGCUUUUAGGUCUUAGUCACCUUUCCCUGUUUCCCCCCCCCCCUUGCCACCUCCUCUCUCCUAUUGUUCCCUCCUGCCCUGCCACCUUCUGGUUCCUGCUGGGGCACAGUGGUGCUUCUCUUCUAACCCUGCUUUCCUGUCAGACUGUGCUGGCCCCAGGCUAAGUGAUAACCAGUAAACUAGAAUCAGUUAUUGCUGAGCUGAUUGGUUAAACCAGGGGCAGGCAAAAUGGUGGAUCUGUUAAGCAGCCAGACUUCAUUUCCCAGCAUCCCCUACUCGCAUAUCUGUGGCCAGUUUCCAUGAAGAGCCCAGGAGUGGUGGGGCCAGGGAGCUGCUCUGGGGCCAGGAUUUUGCAGUGGUGACAGCAUGGGUUGGAGCCAGGUCAAAGCCGAGAUCAGCUGCCUGCAUGCCCUCCAUGCAAAAUCCUGGCCCGAGAGCAGCUUCCUGCUCAGCCAUGUGCCCUGCUAGUGCUGUUUGAGCCAGUCUCUGUGGAAAACCUGCCCACUUGCAUGCCUUGCCAGUGCUGCUUGGGCUGGUCUCCAUGGAAGCCCUAGCCCCACGCUGUCACAGUCCCACAGCUCAUGGGGUCUCCAUGGAAACUGGCUAUAGCAACAUGGGCAAGGGCUGCUGGGAAAUCAAGUCUACCACAGGCCAGAUCAGGCCCAUGGGCUGGACUUUGCCUGCGCCUGGGUUAAAUGAUUGAUUAAUCACAUCCCUAGAUAUAGGUGUGGUUGGUAAUUAAUUCGGGCUAAGCUCAAUUUCUGUACGCUUCACUAACUUGCAUUCAUACAGCACCAUUAUUAAUAUGUAUUAACUGGUAGGAAAGUAUCUUUUAUAUUGUUGUUUGAAAACAGUUAGGUCAUGGAUCCUUAACUCACAAGUGUACUGUCAUUCAUUUGUGCAGUUUUGGGUCCUGUGAGUGUCAUCCCAAAUGCCUUAGCAUCCCUCCAGGACCAACAUUUAUCUUUAUACAUAUUCUCUUUAUCGCUCUGUUGAUGGGUUGUCACUUUAUUACUUGAUUGUUGGCAUGCAGCUAGGUUAGGCCUUUUUACCAUUAGCUAGCAUAACUGUACUGUAAUGCUAUACAACUUCCCCGUCCUACUCACCCCAAGAUGUUCAGAAGUCUUGGAUUUCUUUGCCCUUUGUGGGAAAGAUGAAGGUUCAGGAAACUCCAGAGAAGAAAAAUUGCAACAAAGAUCAUUGCAGUAUUGCUAAAGGGAUGGCCAACUGGUAUCACAACCUGGAUGCCCUGUAAUUGCAGACCAGAAAUAAGAAUCUGAAAUUGUCUUAAAAGGAAGCUAACCAGAAAAACUGGACCCUAAGCAAUAUUCCUGUUACCUGUGUAAGUACUGAGGAGCCAGACUGACGUUUGCUACUGUAUGCCACUUUUGAAUCAGUUUAGGGCAGACAGCACUAAGGCAACUGAGAACAGCAGGAGCUCUGGGUCUGACUUGAAGUCUGGUAGUGAAAACUUGCUUCAAAGCCAGGAUUUCUUUUAAAUGCAAGAUUUUAUGUGGAUGCUAAGCCCGUAAGAAAAUCAAGACAACACUGGUAAGCACACCAGCUUCCCAGGCCUGGAAAAGGGCUCUUAGCCAAAUCUGCACCUGGGUAAUCAGGCCAUUAAUGCCCAACAUCUAGCAAAACCUGAGGGGGAAUGGAAGAGGAAGAAGCAUUUGAAUUCCUAGGAAGUGCAAGGGAGUGAAGCCUGGCAAGUCAGGAAGUACAGAAUAACUUUCAGGGCUGAGAGGGAGAAGGACAGAGGCACACCAGGACCUGGAACUGAAGUCUUCCGGUUGCUGUCUACAGUGAGUUUUGCAGUGGACAGGGAGGCAAUGGAAAAGAACAAGGAGAUAGAGACAGCUUUUGGAGAUCAUAAAAGUUUCUCUGGAAAACAUAUUCCAUCAGAGCUCCUCUAUUGGACCAGUACAACAGCCUCAAGCAAGUUGAACCAGAUCAUGGCUACAGAUUCUCAAGAAACCCACAAAUGUGACUGCGGAAGUGGUUUCUGUGAGCCUACGUUUUGAGUGUUCCAAACCUAGAGGGUUUCUGCCAUUGUUUUUCAGCCUUCGUGAGUCCUGGAGAAUGACAAGGCCCUAAGCAGCCCAUGACUAUACCUUAAGGCUGAAAGCUGUGUGUACUUUCUUUGGGAUGGUUUGAACUGAUAAUUUUAAACAAGUACACUAUUUUUCCCUUCUUUUUAGUUGUAGUUUUACUAUAUGUACUUUUGCAUAGUUUCUCACAGCAAUAAUUAUAUGCUUUUGCACUUGAACUUUGUAGAAAUUGAGUAGUUUCAUUCAACUGUAAUUUUGAAAAUAAAAAUUGCAUAAGUUCUAUAAAAGUA